rnacentral:rRNA from 1 species
UUACAAAGGGCAGGGAAGCAUCGCCCGCCGCGCCCCGCGCCCGUCAUGCCCUUAGAUGUUCUGGGCCGCACGCGCGUUACAAUGGCAUGUAAAGCGAGUGCUGUCGCCAGUAUUACCAGGGCUGAAAAGCCUUGGUAAUCCCUAGUCCCUGCCUAGACUGGGCUAGAUCUUUGCAAUUAUUGGUCUUAAACGGAGGAAUUAUAGGAAUCGCCAGUCA